CGCGCAGGCGGUCGUUCAAGUCGCGUGUGAAAGCCCCCGGCUCAACUGGGGAGGGUCACGCGAUACUGAUCGACUCGAAGGCAGGAGAGGGUAGUGGAAUUCCCGGUGUAGUGGUGAAAUGCGUAGAUAUCGGGAGGGAACACCAGUGGCGAAGGCGACUACCUGGCCUGUUCUUGACGCUGAGGCGCGAAAGCUAGGGGAGCAAACGG
rnacentral:rRNA from 1 species